CGUGAUAAGCUGCGAAAAGUCACGGGGAGGUGCAAAUAACCCUUGAUCCGUGAAUCUCCGAAUGGGACAACCCGGUAUCCUGAAGGGAUAUCACCUUACUAAUGUAAGGAGCAAACGCAGGGAACUGAAACAUCUUAGUACCUGCAGGAAAAGAAAAUAACAAUGAUUCCCCCAGUAGUGGCGAGCGAACGGGGAAUAGCCCAAACCAACAGUGUUACGGCA
rnacentral:rRNA from 1 species